CUGCGUGCCCCGCUCACCUAUGCUCUGGCCUGCAGCACAGCCUGGAUCAUCCUGUGCCUCAGUCCAGCCUCUGACUGAUGGAUUCCUAGCCUGUACCGACCCUGCCUGUGCCUCGUCAUUCGCCUUGUCCCUGUCGCUGGUUCUGCCUACCCGUUGGGGUCGCUGGGUCUUGGUCCUCAGUCUGCGCCUUUCUCCUUUGUGCUGUGACUAGCGCCCCCUUUCUCGGUUCCAUCUUUGCCUGACUCAGCUCUCUGACCCCUGUCUCUGUUCUGUGUUCCCAAUAACUGAAAAUCCCUUCUCUUGGUCUUUGGUAAAAUCGGGAACCGAUAUUCCGCAGAGGGUUAUGGGUUUGGGGUCUGGUUCUCCGGGUUUGGGCUGGGCCCGGGCUGUAGCUAUUCUGGGUCUUGGAAGAGAGGCCGCCCAUCAGGCAGCAAGCAGUGGUCCCUGGGGCGCCGUGGGAAGGGCAGUCCUCUGUGUGAGAGCAGGCAUUCUCCCAGGCCCUGCAGGCUGUGCUCAGCCACUUGGACUCUGGUCCCUUUUUCGGUAGAGUCCCUUGGCCUCGGUGACUCCUUAAGGGACCUUUGGCCUCUCAGGACAUUAGAAUUCCCCCUGCUCCCUCCGGAGCCCCAGACUCCCUUGCUCGCGGAAGCCUGCAAGGCCUAAUUGCCCUUUUCCUUUCUGCCAGGCUAGUACACAGUCUGCUCUGGGAGGCACCGUCUGGCCAGUAGGGGGCCUCAGCCAUGGCUCCUGUCAGUGUCGGGAUGGGUGUGAAGCCAGUCCAUCCCAGCUUGCAAGUCCAGGCUGUUUGCUGUUGGUCCCCAGCACCCCCAGAUGUUUUGCUGUAAUCACCUAAGGCCGGAGCACUUUCCACCUGCCAGCUUCUGAGUUCCUCUCUCCUUCCAGUGUUUUAAGAAUUUGUAUGAAUUCUUGCGGAUUGAACCCAAGCCUGCCACCAGACCGGGUCUGAAGAGGUUCCCGAGGCUGAGAUAAAGAUCCUACACUGCCCUUCUUGUUGAAUAAGUUUGUAGAUUUGAUGACUCCUGUUACAGAAAAAGCAUUUUCAGGCCACAUCGGACAUAUCAGCAGGCCAGAAGCAGGUUCCUGAAGCCUGUCAGUAGUUUACUCAG